GACGAACGCUGGCGGCGUGCUUAACACAUGCAAGUCGAACGGAAAGGCCCUGCUUUUGUGGGGUGCUCGAGUGGCGAACGGGUGAGUAACACGUGAGUAACCUGCCCUUGACUUUGGGAUAACUUCAGGAAACUGGGGCUAAUACCGGAUAGGAGCUCCUGCUGCAUGGUGGGGGUUGGAAAGUUUCGGCGGUUGGGGAUGGACUCGCGGCUUAUCAGCUUGUUGGUGGGGUAGUGGCUUACCAAGGCUUUGACGGGUAGCCGGCCUGAGAGGGUGACCGGCCACAUUGGGACUGAGAGACGGCCCAGACUCCGACGGGAGGCAGCAGUGGGGAAUAUUGCACAAUGGGCGGAAGCCUGAUGCAGCAACGCCGCGUGCGGGAUGACGGCCUUCGGGUUGUAAACCGCUGGCGCCUGUGACGAAGCGGGAGUGACGGUAAUGGGUAAAGAAGCACCGGCUAACUACGUG
rnacentral:rRNA from 1 species